AGUUAAUGAACUUGAACAAGUAUAUAUUUUGAAAAUAUAAAAUAGAUUAAUAUCUAUUAACUU
rnacentral:tRNA from 1 species